AACGAACGCUGGCGGCAUGCCUAACACAUGCAAGUCGAACGAGACCUUCGGGUCUAGUGGCGCACGGGUGCGUAACGCGUGGGAACCUGCCCUUAGGUUCGAAAUAACUCCCCGAAAGGGGUGCUAAUACCGGAUAAUGUCUUCGGACCAAAGAUUUAUCGCCUUUGGAUGGGCCCGCGUUGGAUUAGCUAGUUGGUAGGGUAAAAGCCUACCAAGGCGACGAUCCAUAGCUGGUCUGAGAGGAUGAUCAGCCACACUGGGACUGAGACACGGCCCAGACUCCUACGGGAGGCAGCAGUGGGGAAUAUUGGACAAUGGGCGAAGGCCUGAUCCAGCAAUGCCGCGUGAGUGAUGAAGGCCUUAGGGUUGUAAAGCUCUUUUACCCGGGAUGAUAAUGACAGUACCGGGAGAAUAAGCUCCGGCUAACUCCGUG
rnacentral:rRNA from 1 species